rnacentral:rRNA from 1 species
AACGAACGCUGGCGGCAGGCUUGACACAUGCAAGUCGAACGCAUCCUUCGGGGUGAGUGGCAGACGGGUGAGUAACGCGUGGGAACGUGCCCUUCAGUUCGGGAUAACCCAGGGAAACUUGGGCUAAUACCGGAUACGUGCGAGAGCAGAAAGAUUUAUCGCUGAAGGAUCGGCCCGCGUCUGAUUAGCUAGUUGGUGGGGUAAUGGCCCACCAAGGCGACGAUCAGUAGCUGGUCUGAGAGGAUGAUCAGCCACAUUGGGACUGAGACACGGCCCAAACUCCUACGGGAGGCAGCAGUGGGGAAUAUUGGACAAUGGGCGCAAGCCUGAUCCAGCCAUGCCGCGUGAGUGAUGAAGGCCUUAGGGUUGUAAAGCUCUUUCGUCCGGGACGAUAAAGACGGUACCGGAAGAAGAAGCCCCGGCUAACUUCGUGCCAGCAGCCGCCGUAA